UACGUAGGGCGCAAGCGUUAUCCGGAAUUAUUGGGCGUAAAGAGCUCGUAGGCGGUUUGUCGCGUCUGCCGUGAAAGUCCGGGGCUCAACUCCGGAUCUGCGGUGGGUACGGGCAGACUAGAGUGAUGUAGGGGAGAGUGGAAUUCCUGGUGUAGCGGUGAAAUGCGCAGAUAUCAGGAAGAACACCCGUGGCGAAGGCGGCUCUCUGGGACGGUACUGACGCUGAGACGCGAAAGCGUGGGGAGCAAACAGG
rnacentral:rRNA from 1 species